AGAAUCAACGCUGGCGGCGUGCCUAACACAUGCAAGUCGCACGAGAAAGGGACUUCGGUCCUGAGUAAAGUGGCGCACGGGUGAGUAACACGUGAAUAAUCUACCUCCGAGUGGGGAAUAACUGAGAGAAAUCUUAGCUAAUACCGCAUAACACUUACGAGUCAAAGCAGCAAUGCGCUUGGAGAGGAGUUCGCGGCAGAUUAGUUAGUUGGCGGGUAAUGGCCCACCAAGACUAUGAUCGGUA
rnacentral:rRNA from 1 species